GCUCAAAUUUGAAAUCUGGCUCUUUCAGAGUCCGAGUUGUAAUUUGCAGAGGGCGCUUUGGCGUUGGCAGCGGUCCAAGUUCUUUGGAACAGGACGUCACAGAGGGUGAGAAUCCCGUACGUGGUCGCUAUCCUUCGCCGUGUAAAGCCCCUUCGACGAGUCGAGUUGUUUGGGAAUGCAGCUCUAAAUGGGAGGUAAAUUUCUUCUAAAGCUAAAUACUGGCCAGAGACCGAUAGCGCACAAGUAGAGUGAUCGAAAGAUGAAAAGCACUUUGGAAAGAGAGUCAAAUAGCACGUGAAAUUGUUGAAAGGGAAGCGCUUGCAGCCAGACUUGCCUGUAGUUGCUUAUCUGGACUUUUGUCCAGUGCACUCUUCUGCGGGCAGGCCAGCAUCAGUUUGGGCGGUUGGAUAAAGGUCUCUGUCAUGUACCUCUCUUCGGGGAGGCCUUAUAGGGGAGACGACAUGCAACCAGCCUGGACUGAGGUCCGCGCAUCUGCUAGGAUGCUGGCGUAAUGGCUGUAAGCGGCCCGUCUUGAAACACGGACCAAGGAGUCUAACAUCUAUGCGAGUGUUUGGGUGUCAAGCCCAGACGCGUAAUGAAAGUGAACGGAGGUAGGAACCCUUUGGGUGCACUAUCGACCGAUCCUGAUGUCUUCGGAAGGAUUUGAGUAAGAGCAUGGCUGUUGGGACCCGAAAGAUGGUGAACUAUGCUUGAAUAGGGUGAAGCCAGAGGAAACUCUGGUGGAGGCUCGCAGCGGUUCUGACGUGCAAAUCGAUCGUCAAAUUUGGGCAUAGGGGCGAAAG
rnacentral:rRNA from 1 species